CUUCAUUCAUUACAAAACAUAGAGCCACAUCACCAUCACUUCAACCUUCAGCCCAACCAAAAAUAGAAACCCUAAUUUUUUUCUAAAAAUCUAACCCUAGCGCCGCCACACCUAAACUCUCAGGCCACCACCGCAAUCACCACAUACCUGCAAACGAAACCCAGAAGACCAUUACCAUGACGCGGCUGCGACCACCUCCACGCACCACCAUCUUCACGCGCGCCUUCACCAUCAUCUUCUUCCCAGUUCGCGCUGCCACCAUAGCGAUUGAGGGUUUCGAUUUGGGGGUUUUUGUUGUGUUAUCUGGUUUUUGUAAAUUGGAAUGUAUGAUUUUCGUUUCAAAAUUGAUUUGGGGAAUUCUUGGUUCUUCCCUGUUUUGCGAGUGGUUAGGGAUUUUGUUCUUCCCUACAUGUAUGGGUUUUGCGAAGUGGGGGAUGAGGGUUCAAAUUGGGAAUGUUAGGGUUUCUGAACUUGGGGUUUUUUGUUUUGGGUUCAUUUGAUUCGCGAUAAUGGGCUUCGUGGUGGUUGUUGUUGGAUGCACGGGUGGCGCCAAUGAAGGUGCUGGUAGGUGGCCAUGGGUGGUGUUAUUGGGUGGUUGUUGGACAGAGAAAAUGGAGGUGAGAAGAUGGUGGCUGGUCGUGACCGUGG
rnacentral:lncRNA from 1 species